GAUAAACGCUGGCGGCGUGCUUAACACAUGCCAGUCGAACGAAGUUUUUCCUUCGGGAGAAACUUAGUGGCGGACGGGUGAGUAACGCGUGGGUAACCUGCCCUGUACAGGGGGACAACAGCUGGAAACGGCUGCUAAUACCGCAUAAGCCCUUAGCACUGCAUGGUGCAUAGGGAAAAGGAGCAAUCCGGUACAGGAUGGACCCGCGUCUGAUUAGCCAGUUGGCAGGGUAACGGCCUACCAAAGCGACGAUCAGUAGCCGAUCUGAGAGGAUGUACGGCCACAUUGGGACUGAGACACGGCCCAGACUCCUACGGGAGGCAGCAGUGGGGAAUAUUGCACAAUGGAGGAAACUCUGAUGCAGCGACGCCGCGUGAGUGAAGAAGUAUUUCGGUAUGUAAAGCUCUAUCAGCAGGGAAGAAAAUGACGGUACCUGACUAAGAAGCACCGGCUAAAUACGUG
rnacentral:rRNA from 1 species